rnacentral:rRNA from 1 species
AUUGAACGCUGGCGGCAGGCCUAACACAUGCAAGUCGAGCGGAGCGGCGGACGGGUGAGUAAUGCCUAGGAAUCUGCCUGGUAGUGGGGGAUAACGUCCGGAAACGGGCGCUAAUACCGCAUCCUAUCAGAUGAGCCUAGGUCUGAUUAGCUAGUGGGUGGGUUAAAGGCCUACCAAGGCGACGAUCCGUAACUGGUCUGAGAGGAUGAUCAGUCACAAUGGAACUGAGACACGGUCCAGACUCCUCCGGUAGGCAGCAGUAGGGAAUAUUGGACCAUGGGCGAAAGCCUGAUCCAGCCAUGCCGCGUGUAUGAAGAAGGCCUUCGGGUUGUAAAGUACUUUCAGCGGGGAGGCGUUACCCGCAGAAGAAGCACCGGCUAACUCCGUGCCAGCAGCCGCGGUAAUUC